AGUGCUCUAUCUUGGCUGUGUCCGUCAGUGUUAGUGCCCUGGCUGCGAUCUUCGAAGAGAGUUUUGUAAGAGAGAAGACUUCACAGUCUCCGUUUCUCCCUCUUCCGGUCAAAGGAGUUCAGGUCUGGCCCACCAAAAACGUCACAGGCGCCCCCUGCACCCCGUGCUCCUUCCAGAGAGGCUUGCAGGGUAUCUCUCCUUCCUUGUCCCCUCCUGCCCUCCCUGCCCCAGGGGCCCAUGAUUACAGCAUCCAGGCUGCCGCUCCAGGCAGUGACCCACAUGCUACCUCUGUCAUGUCUCUCCAAUCUCCACACGGGCAGACCGAACUGCCAGAGACACUUGGAUUUCAUUACUGCCCCCGACUCCUCCUGGCUGAGUGAUCUGGGGUGAGUUAACCUGCCUGUCUGAACCUCAGUUUCCUCAUCUGGAAAACGGACACUUGCCUAACAACCUUGCUGGGUCAUGUGGGGCUUAGUGAGACGGUCUGUAACUACCUGGCACAGAGCAGGCGCUUAGGAAAUGGAAAGUAUGGCAUUCAAAGGCCUCGAUGAUCUGACCUCAACUGACUUUUCUAGCUACAUUUAUUUAAAGAAUAAGAAUAAUAGCUCAUUCUUCUUGAUGCUUACUGUAUGGGAGGCCCUGCUCUAAACACUUGUAUAGGGACACUUUUAUUCUCCUAUCACCCCCUUGUGGUGGGUACUGUUAGCAUCUCCAUUUUACAGAUGAGAAAACUGAGGCACAGGGAGAUGAAGCACCUUGGCCACGGUCGCACAGCAGGCUCCUUCCUGGCAGCUGUGUGCCCACCUCAUCCGUGAAGCCCUCCCCAAGUCCUCCCUCACGUCCACCUGUGCGGGCUCAUCACAGUUGGACUCGAAGGUGGUGUGGAGGAGAACUAGCCCUCAGGGGCCCCACUACUCUGCAAGAACGGCUGGAGGGCUGCAGCUGGAACCAGCCCCAGAAGGCAGCCUGCCAGCUGGGCUUCCUGCUGUCUGCUCAGGGGAAAGGACUCAGCCACAGGCCACAGGAGGCCUGCAUUGCCUGGGGGGCAGGUCUGAACCCUAGAGGGACCGGAGGAACUGGACGGGCUGGACAGACAUCCAUAAGGGGACAGGACUGAGUGCCACUUGCUGAUGGCGUUGAGCAGUGGGGCCCAGAGUGCAACCACCCACCAGCCCGCCUAAUUCCAAGGGGCCUCUCAGAGGGUUUCAGGCCCAUUGUCAGGACCCCAGCCCAGUGCACCCCAGCAAACAGGAUAAUGUCUCCAACAGGUCACAUGCCCAGGGUCCCACUCCUGUUUCUGCCCAGUCCCACACAAGGCCUCUGGUCCACAUCAGCUGCCUCCUCCCACUCACCAUGACUCCCCACAGCUCUGCCCAGACUCCGAGCACUCCCUAACGGGAGCAUCCCAUCCUGGGAGGACGGACACUGUCCUGUCCGGCAUGGCGAAGCUUCGUGUCACCUCCAUCACUCUCGGUUCCACGGUCAGAUGGGGACUCCCUGGGUGUGUGGAAGGACUGGGGACACCAAGGGGAGCUAGGCAGAUGCUGUCCUACCUCACAGAGCUCACUACACAAGGAGACCACAGACCACGAAAGCAGCAAUGGCCACAGCGUGGUAAAGUGUGACGAGGGGGACGUGCUGGCAGCCACAGGGAGGGCUGCUGACCUAGGCUUCCAGAGCCGAUACCCAAGCAGAGGCCAGAGGCUGAAUGUGUGCUGGCCACAAGAAGAGCAGGAAGGAGAGGCUGGAGAGGCCACGGAGAGCAGGAUGCCUGUGUCUGAGGAACGGGGACAGUUUGGAACGGGGAACAGUGAGGACAAGGUGAGGGCUGGGGAAGGGGAGGCCAGGCCCUAAGAUCCACCUGGAAGAUCACAGGGCCGCAUCCCGGGCAGCUCGGCACCUAGCCCAGGGUGGGGCUUCUGUCUUGCUGGAACACCCCGAUCGGCCAGCAUCUCCUCGCGAGUUUAAAUCCCUCCUCCUGCCACCUACGCCACUUCCUGAGCCCAGGUCAUUGCCAAGGGGAAGCAGCGCUCGGCAGAGAGCCGGCCCUGCAGAAGAGGCCGUGGUACCGUCAGAAACGCCCCGUGUGGGUCAGCCUGGGGCAGGCCGGGGGCUCGAACCUCCACCCGCAGUGCCCCCGAAGCCAGCCUCCCCAGAGCCGCCAGGACGAAGCAACCGUCCUCUUGGCUGUGGCCACGGCGGCAAGCACGCACGCGCCAGGGCCCGGGGGCGCCGCCACUCCGCACGCACGAGCUGGGGCCGGACAACCUCUCCUGGCCCGCGGCCUCUGCGCGCCCGUCUGCGAAAUGGCCAUCGCAGGCUGCCUCCCUCACGGGCUUCCUGUGCACCUGACCGUGGGCACCCGCGCCGCACGCAGCCGCAGGAGGAACCGCGCGAGCGCAGAGCUCCUCUCAGAGUGAAAACACGACGGGGCCUGACCUUCCCGGUCAGGGGAGUUUCGGUUCUUCACCCCGCCCC